rnacentral:lncRNA from 1 species
AUCAGAUAGCAAAAAUAUUGUGUCAUUUUUUGUCAUUUUCCAGGAAAGACAGACACAUCCUGGCUGGAGGUAUGAAGGGAAGAACAUUAUUUGCUUUUAACUGGCUAUGACUGCCUGAAACAACAAACCUAGAACUACAGUGCUAGAUGCCAUCACACAGAGGGAUAGUCACAAAUGCUGACAGAGGGAAGAUAGAUGUCUCCUCUGGAUCAUGAAGAUCAGCUUCCUCAGAGCACUGAUGAGUGGAUAAAAAGGUGCGGCUAUACAGGACCCAGCCUUCAUCUAGUGCUACUGCUGUGCACUGGAUCGGAACCAAGCUGUUGG